AUGGCGGCGGCUCCGCGCCCGCCCCGUGUCUUGCGGAGGCUCCUCGACCCGGGCUGCGGCGGGACCGGCGCUCGGAGCGGUGUGUGGAGAUCGGAUCGGGGCUGCUCCCGGCACCGUGCGGAGAUCGGAUCGGGGCUGCUCCCGGCGCCGUGCGGAGAUGGGAUCGGGGCUGCUCCCGGCGCCGUGCGGAGAUGGGAUCGGGGCUGCUCCCGGCGCCGUGCGGAGAUCCGGAUCGGGGCUGCUCCCGGCGCCGUUCGGAGAUCGGAUCGGGGCUGCUCCCGGCGCUGCGCGGUGUCCGAGGCGCUCAGUACCUUGAGGCUCAUGGAGUUAAAUGAUGAGAAGCGACUGGCCCAGCUGCACAUUGAACACAGAAUUUUGGCCUUCUCAGCACCCUGCUCCAAGUGUCAAGGUCAUGACAAAGGUCACGGGUGGGAUAGGAAUGACUGCUUCCAGUAAGGAACUCCUAUACAAAUGCAGCUCCUUUUCUUCUUAUAAUGCUGCUUUACACACCAGCCCCUGCACUGGCUGUAGGGCAGAACUAGCUAGCACCUGACAUGACAGCACCAAACUCUUCCCCAUAACCCUGACUCUUCUACCCUUUCUAGGAUUUACCCAACAGCUGUAAAUUGCUUAUGCUAUGUUCCUUUGCAGGGAGAAGCAAAUGAGACAAGUCCUGAGGGUUACCUUGCUCCAUGGCCGAUGUUCUUUUGCAGAGCAGCAGGGGGCAUUGCCUGAAGGUGAGUGUUGUCAGGACUAAACGAUGGUGGCUGCUGAGGCCAGGGCUGCUUUUCUGGCCCAGAGGCCUCGGUGUCUCCCUCUCACUGCCAGCAAUGUUCCUUGGUGUUCCCUCAGUGUGUCCCAGCUGGCUGGGAGCGCAGGGCAGGAGAAGGCCAGAAACCCCUGGAAGGGAAGCAGCACCUCUUGUCCUUGGGAUAUGCAGGGGAGAAGCUGUGCCUGCACCAUGGCUCCUCAGCCAGGGGCUGCUCUGACCAGGCAUGGGGAGAUGCUUUGGUCUGGACAGAGACCACUGACAGCCCAGAAGCCCAAGGAGCAGCUGGCAUUACCUGGGAAUGGAGGUACAGGCUGCUUGUAGAGCAGCUCAGACAGCAAUUCCUGGUUCAGAGAUCCCACACAGCUGCCAGGUAUGUCCUGGCCACCCCAAAUCCCUUCCCUCUUUUCCAGCCUGAGGCUAUCAUCCACCAGCAGCAUUAAAGCCAAGGCAAUCUUCUCUCACAGAUAUUAAAUGCCAACCAAUAGUCUCGGAGAUGCCCUAAAAUCAGAGGUUGGAGUGGGAUGACGUUUGGAAUUUUUCAGGGAGCCAGCUGGAAGUGCAGAAGUGAUGGAAAACUCGCAGGUGGGUCCCACUGGAGGUGUGCUGCAGUCAGGGAUGUGCAUCUCUUUCUUGAGGGAAAAGGACAUGCAGAGGCCACUGCUGAGGCUCUGAAAGGAGCUGAGCUUCUGCAGGAGAGAUGUUCUGCCUCAGCACAGGCCGGGAGCGCAUCCAGCCACCGCCUUGUCCUGGAUGGGAGAUGAGGCUGCUGGAAUGUCACCUGGAGCAGCUGAACACGUUCUGUCCCUGCAGCAGCCGGGAGCCAAAGCAGAUCCCUCCUGGCCAGGCUGGUGGGCAGCUGCUGGAUCUGCUCUGGGGGAAAACUCCCUGCCCCUGCCAGGAGCGCUGCCUCUACUUUUCCUCCAGCUCCUGAGCAGUGUCAGGGCCACCGGGAGGGAGUUCAAACCCAAAAAGUCCCCACAGCCCCCAGAGUGAAUGAUCCCAGCAGAGAAAUGCAGUGUUGAAAUAAAAAACUUACAGCUCUGUUAAAAAGGCUGUGACAACACUGUAAUGGGAUUCCCAGGAACCUUCUGGGUUGCUCUUGGUUCUGCUUUCAUGUGUUUUUAGUCCCUCAAUGGGCAGCUUGUAGAAUUUAUUCUGGGACUCAGAGGUUGAGCAGGGUGGGCUCUGGACUGACCUUCGCCUCUGGUGCCACUUUGUGUGAACACAACUGGGCCAGGCUGGGUGAUCUCAUGACCUCAGCUUUCCCCUCCAAAAUGUCCCUCCCUUAUUUCCCUGCGGCUGAGCUGGGAUUUGGCCCCAGACUGUCACUCCUCACCUCCCCGUGCCCGCACAGUGUCCCUUCUGUUCCCCACAGAGCCCUGGGGACACCAGGGGGUCCCUUUGCCUUCUCCCGCCCCUUUCCAGCCCGAGGCUCCUCUGCCCUUGUCCCACACAGCACAGGGACACAAAAGGGGAAAGGCUCCAGAAAACAUUUCUGCAAUUAACCAGCAAUUAUUUCAAUUCCCCAGUGAGAAGAACAUGAACUCACAGCCACCGAGGCCUGAGGGGUUCCUGCAGUGAGAGCUCAGUGCGUGUCCACAGAGGUGAGUGCAGCAUCUGAAAGGAAAAAACACAGGGGAAAAAUGUGAUUUAUUUUGCUUCAAAGUUAUUUCAAGUUCUUAAAGCCCAACCAACUUUUGCUGUUGAUUUUGGUUGGGUGGAACAUGAGCAGUGGGCAGAGGUCGUGCCAUUGGUGCAGACGUGCCUGAUGCCUUCUGGGGCAGAAAAAUUAGAUUAAGCUCACCUGGUGUCAAGCAGUUAUUAGAAAAGAUUUAUAGCUCUUGAAACAUAACACCCUUUAAUUACCAUAAUGUUUAUUCCAUGAUUUUAACUCAUUCUCAGUGUAUUUUAUAAAACUUAAAAUAACACCUCCUCAUAAACCAUUAGACCAAGAGUCCUACUGCCAGUCACACGCUUCCACAUCUAACAGCAGACCCUCCCCAUAACCAAACAAAAAAUCAAAAUAACGUGCCAAAAGUAGUCCUUACUAACAUUAAAAAUGCAACUCAACCGUAUCUAACAAAACCCCCAACUUUAUUUCCUCCAAACACCAAAUACUCUUCAAAUUCGGAAUGAAAAAUUCCUAAAAAAACAACAAAAACCAUCAAAACAUACUUCAAAUAUAGAAAAGCCUAACCAAAUAAAUAAAUAUUUCUCUAAGCCCGCCAAAAAUAUAAAACAAUCUAAUCAAUAGCCUACAUUAAAAAAAACCCACUAUACAAAUUUGUACCAUUCUAAAUAUAACAUAAAUAAAAAUGUUUUACUAAGAAACAUAUCUCCCUAUAAAUAAAAUAUAUAAGUAAUAAUCAUAACUCAACAAUCUAAAAUUUCUCAAAAACCAAAAUACUUUAGAAAGUCUUUAUAAAUAUAACAUUAAAUAAGUUACAUAUUAAUAAAAUCAAACAAAAUUAAUUUUCACUAUAUUUAAAUUAACUAUUCUUAAAUUUCAUUUUAUCACUUUAAUAUUCUAUUAAAAUUAAGUUAAUUAUUCCUUACUAUCAAAAUUCAUUCUAAAUUUAAAUGUUAUUUAAUAUAACUUCUCUUAAAUUGUAUUAAAAAUAAUUUCUCUAAACUAUAAAUAUAUGGUUAAUUUUCUUAAAAAAAUAAAGCAACUCCAAUUAAAACAACUAAAAUAAAACGCUAACAUCUAUUAAUAAGUAAAAGAAAUACAGUUUAUUACAUCAUAAAUUUCAUCAAAAAUUCUAUUCUUCAUUACAAUCUCUACUUUUUUUAUUUUUUAACACAUAAAAAAUAGUAAUUACUAUUAAGAUCAUGCUAUUUAAAAAUUUUUAUUCUAUUUCCUUAACUUAAAAAAAUAUUUACAUAUUAUCUUCUUCAAACUUACUACUAAUAUGCAAAGUAUAUAAAUCUAUUAUUUUUAUAAUAAACAUUAUUUAUAAAAUAUUAUAACAUUUUCAACCAAUUUUCAUAUACUUUACCAUCUCUUUAUAUAAUUAUCUAAGAAACAUAUAAAAUUUCUAAAUCCUACUUUUUUUAUUCUCCCUUCAUACAUCUAGUAUCUAGUCUCAUUUACAAACUCAUCCUUUAAAACUUGUUUCCAGUUCCAUUUCUCUCUCAACAAUGCCUGUCCUAUUCCAUGGCAUUUCUAACUCAGCAUUUCUUAUCUCAAAAUUUCCAUGCAGAUAGAUACUAUGUAAACCUUCUGUCAAACUCUGGCAAUUUUCUACAAGUCCAUUUCCCACAGCAGAGCUGCUCCCUGCCCAGCACAGGAGCUGCAAGUGCUGUUGCAGGGCACAAUGCCUGAAGGAACACUGGAGCUGUGACAUUAAAGCCAGCAAAAAGAAUUACUAAGUAAAAGAGAUCCUCACCUGCUCCAAGAACUGAACCUCUGUGGCUCAUCCUCACGGGGUGACCCUGCUCCAGGGAGGAAUCUCCACACAGCCCCGAGACCUGGGGUCAGACGCCGCCCUACCAGCAGAAGAACAAGGGGUUAGUGAAGCUUUUUGGACACAUUCUGUCCUCAGAGUGGUUUGACAAAACAUCGUCAAUGUGAUCUUUAAUAAAGGCAGCUUGCACCCAUGCUUGCAACAGAG
ensembl:lncRNA